GUCCAUCAGGAAGACUGAAAAGGCGCGGGAACAAAACCACGCCCUGCCAAUCAAAGCAGGUUUUAGCUGCCCUCGUCCCACGCCUGUGCUGGGACACCUGGGCAGGGAACAAAGACGGCGCAUUGCGCCUCCUCCCGCUGCUCUAAGGACUCUCCGAGGGUGUCCUGCUGGCUCGCGCCGACCGUUAGCCGCGAGGGUAGCGCCACGCGCCCGUCCGUUACAUUGUCCUCCCUCACAGCGCCGCGUGGGGGCAGGAGGGAGCGCGGCUCUCGCCGGCGGAGGUUGCCAGCCAAAGCUUCCAAGCUAUUUUUGAAGAGUUCCUGCAUGCUGAGAAGUGUUUGUCACAGUACACUGCAGAGAAUUCUGUUCAUGGAGUGAGGCCUUUCGGGAGGAUUCUUUGAUGAAAGGUAUCUCAAGAGGUAUCACAGAAUCAUAAACUAAUUGAGGACAGUGAACUUCUGGAGAUCACCGUUCAACCACCCCUCCUGAAGCAGUGUCAGUUAGAGAAGGUUGCCCAGGACUGUGUCAUUGGAUUUUGAAUAUCCCCAAGAAUAAACUCCACAGCCUCUCUGAACUACCUGUCUCAUCUCUCAUCCUCCCACUGGGUACCACUGAGAAGAGCCUGGCUGCAUUAUUCUUGCAUCUUCCCAUCAGGUUGGUUUGUUUGUUAUUUUUUCUAGUUACUAAGCAUCUAAUUUGAAUCAACUGUGGGAAAAGAAAGCAUUGAAGGUGCUGUGACACCUGGAAAUUGUCUGAAUGAAAACAAUUCUGAUACUUGUGUAGCAUUUGGUGUCUAUUGUAAAUCUGGCAAACCUGCCUAAAGAAAUGUGUACAGAACAGACGGAAUCUUUAACUUAUCUGCAGUGGCUCCACUGGCUAAACUUGCACUCUCUGCUAAUGGUCUGCCCUAACCAGAAAUAUGCUGAUGUCCAGCCACAUCUCUAAGACAAUAAAUCCCAGCUUUUCUAACAUCAAUUGGAACCACUGAAUUUGCUAUUCUACUGACAGCGACAAUUCUUGUCUUGAACAACUUAAGCAAUGAAGUCUCCUAGAGGAGAGAGCCUCACUCAAAUUUCAGUGAAAGUAUCAACUUUGAGAGAAUGACAUCAAGAAAAGAGGAGGAAUCAAAUCCACUCUUCCAUUGCUGUGUAAUUAAUUCAACAAUCUGGCAAAUAUGCAGGAAAAUGCAGAUGAGCCUACAACAUCCAAUGGUAAAAAUGGUUCAGUACACAACGAAAGAAAUUUCUGUGCAACCACAAAAAAAAACCACUGAUCACUCACUGAAAAAAAAGUCACAUAACAUAUAAUCCCUUAUAAGUGUGACAGCAAACUAGAAUCUGAGACAGAAUCUACUUACAUACUGCUCACAGAAGUCACUGUUCAGUGACUUCUUUAGAUACAAAUAGGAUUGCCAUUAUCUCCUUUUAAUUCUGUUGAUUGCUAGUGAGUGGCACUGACUUGUUUACAAUUAAAUGAGUAUAUGAAGGUCAAAUGAUUGAAGUUAAAUCAAAUAAACUUGACACUGUGUCUAUUAAAGAGAACUAGAUGACAUAUCCAAGGUUUGCCAGUAUUACGAAUUCAUAACCAAAAAUCUUGACUGCAGCUAUACUACUCAAACAAGCAAGUAGCACAUGUGAUCAGAAACAUAUCUCAGUUAAGCUUAAGAAUAUGGUCUUUUUCAAGAGUUUGCCUUGACAAUUAUCUAAUCAUACUUUCAACAUUUCAAGAUGAGACUAUUAGAAUGAAUUGUGCCUAAGUCUAUUUCUUAACAUUGCUCAGAAACUAGAACUGUUUCUGACAUUUUUCUUCUUUAAUAAGUGAAUUAUCAAGAUUCUAGGUAGCUGGUAUAAAUGUCAGAAAGCUUUCAAAUAAACCUAAGGAUGCUGAUUCUUCCAUGAGAAGACUGCAAUAAUACAACGUCUGCCAAUUAAAGAAAGCCUCACUUUUCUCAGGACAGGGCUUCACGGACACAUAGGACUGAAGAAAAUGAAUAAAUAAAUGCAUAGAGGGAGAACAUUUAGAGUUUUUUCUUCCCCACGCUGGAAUUUUAUUUUGUCUUUAUUUCAAACUAGCUUAAAAUUUAUCUACACAAAUAGCAUCUUACAACAGCCAUUUGUUUCUCCUGAGUGGAAUAAUUGGGAAAAGUCAAACUCAAUUAGAUUUGAACUAUUGAAGCAUCCAAGUUUAUGCAUGUCAAGACAGUUGUGAAAAGUACAACCCUUUGCACAUAUGCAGAGCACCCUGAGCCUCUUUGUUGCUGUUAUUUUAAAAUAAGUGCAUUUAUUAAGAACUGAUGUUAACUUUAAUGUAGGAAAGGGUAGAAAGAGAAAAAAAAUAAGUUAUACAUUAAAUCAACAAUAACAUUAAGAAAUUCAGACAUCUUAGAAUAAUUUUUCUUUGUAUAUAUACAUCCCCCCCCAGUUGAAUGGUAUGACUUUAGUAAACCAUGAGCAUUACAAUUGAUGAUAUUGACUACUUUAGUAAUGUUUUUCACCUAACUUAUAUUUUCAACCUCCAAAGUUAAACAAAAUGUCAUUUUUGAAUUUUUCAAAUUAAAAGCAAAAAAUAUUCUGCUACUGGGAGAUGGCACUGUGGAAACACAAACUUCCUGAAAUAGAUAUAUUUUUAAAAAGAGCAAGAAAAUGAAAUACUACUCUAAUUGUUCGCUCGUUCUAUCAAACUUCUAAAACACAGUAUUAUACUAUACAGUACUAUUGAAGCCCGUCUGACAACUUAAAGAUCAGACUUCUAUUACACAUUCUUUUCAAUAGCUUGAUGAUGAACAUCUCUGAAAAUACUUUCUUUUGCUUAAACAUAAGCUCCUAGUUUUUUAAGUACUGCUAAGACUACAAGGAACAAGCUAAAUGUAGCCUCAUUAAAUCAAAUUUAUGAUAAUACCAUCCAAAUGAAGCUGCAGUUAUCACUAUUCACAAUCAUUCAGCUAAAUGAUUUCCCAAGGAGAUGUCCCAAAAUAAUACAGCUGUCACAGUUAAACAUGUUCCAGCAACAAAGCCAUACUGUACUGUGAUUCUUCAACAAGAAAAAAUUUUACUAGGAUGCUCCACAUCAAGUUUUUGGUUUAUGAAAUUGGGGAGAUUGUUGAUUUUUUUUUGUUUUUUUUUAAAUAUACAGUCAUAUAAUUAGUAGAGGUGCAUAUCUGUAUUUUCAGACCACAGACUGUUUUACAUUCCAUACUGACAGUCAGCACUACACUCUUCAAAGCCCUGAAAUUCACACAGGUAUUUUUAAACAUAAUUACCACAAAACACAUCAACUUGUAUUCAAAAUGCACAGUCUCAUACAUUUCAGUCUGGGAUCAAUCACCUUACGCAAUAGAUAUUUUAAUCUUCAGAAGGACUCAAAAAACUUACGUCCAUGUCAUGGUUUUAUGAUUUUUGGUUAUCAGUAUUCCACAUCAUAACAUCAUGCAGUGUACAGGGAGUUAAAGAGCAGAUGUUCUAGUUCCGGGUACUUGUCCAGAAGAGAAGAACUAUGUUCCCCAGAAGACUGUUCGAAUACUGUUAUCAUUCCUGCUCAGGUGAACAGGUAAGGCCUGUAGGUCACCUGACCUGGGUCUUCUUCUCGUCGUGCUCACUUUCAGAUUGUCUCACUGCUGCUCCCGACUGCACACAAGGCUUCAGUAUUAGUGUAAGGCCUUUAGCUCCUGGACAGUCCUUCUCUCAAUUAUAUUUGAUUUUAUUAACAAUUAUAUUGAAUUGUAUUGUAUUAUAGUGUGUUAUCGUGCAUUCUGAUAUUGUAUUUAAUAGAUUAGUUUGGUUCUCCUCAGAUCAUUGCUGCUGUUUUUUUAAUUAUUCUUUUUUUGGGUUGGGGGAGGGGUCCCUGUUUCCCUUUUCUGGAGGCGCAGAUUUUGAAAAAAAAAAACCCUCCGCUCCACUAGUCACAGAACCAGGCCAGACCAGCCCAUAAACCAUCAACAGUUCAGCUUAGCACAUAGGCAAGCAGGAUACGAGUUUGCACUCAGGUUUUUUGUUUGUUUGUUUGUUUUUAAGGCAGAGCAACGAGGAUAAAAAGCAAAGAGAGAUAGAUGACAUAUAUUUGAACGUUCCAUUUCAAAGACUGUAGCUUCUCAUAGAUCUGAUAUACUUCUGCCCAGUUACAAUUAGAAAUGUAAGCAGCAAUUUCAUGUUAUCCUCUCUUGCUUGAAAUACUGCUCUCCCGUGUACACAAAAUAAUUUUGACAUGUUUUCUUCUGUUGUAUGAAUUCCAUUCAUAUAUAAUCAUUCACUUCAAACUAUAGUGUAACUAUUAUAUUACAGAGAUAUAGUUAUGAGCUCUAUCAAAAGAAUUCUUAAUGCUUCCCUUGAUUUAAAAAGCAUACUCCACUCUCUUUACCUGUAA